rnacentral:rRNA from 1 species
UACAGAGGUCUCAAGCGUUGUUCGGAUUCAUUGGGCGUAAAGGGUGCGUAGGCGGCGCGGUAAGUCGGGUGUGAAAGUCAAAGGCUCAACCUUUGAAUGUCAGUGGAUACUGCCGGGCUAGAGUCCGGAAGAGGCGAGUGGAACUCCUGGUGUAGCGGUGGAAUGCGCAGAUAUCAGGAAGAACACCAACGGCGAAGGCAGCUCGCUGGGACGGUACUGACGCUGAGACGCGAAAGCGUGGGGAGCGAACAGG